rnacentral:lncRNA from 1 species
GGGGGAAGCAAAAUCGACAACAGUUUCACUACAGUUGGCUGACAGGUCAAUCAAACACCCUCGUGGUAUUUGUGAAGAUAUUUUGGUGAAGGUUGACAAGUUUAUCUUCCCAGCGGACUUCAUUAUUCUGGUAAAACAUGGCGCCCUAAAGUCAUCUGAUUUGGGAGUCAUCGGCCUAAAGCCUGCUACAUGAGUCAUCUAGAAAGCUUAAGGGAAAGUGUAAAAAAAAAAAAGCACUAAAUGCCUUGUAAGUCCCAACACUUGUUUGAGGGAACUUGACUUUCGAUAAAUGAUAAUUAACCUAAUUGAAUCUUGGCAGUCGAAGUAAUCAAAUAAUUUGAGAAUCCUUAUUCAUUGAUGCGUUAACUUGCAACUAGUGACAUCCACCUGAAUUGGAGAGGUGAGGAUAGUGAUAAAAAUUCAAUCUUAGAUCACACACUGGGAAAAGAGUGUGAAAAUGAUUUGGGGGUGUGUAAAUCUUACGAGAGAUGAAAAGAUAUAUUUGACCAUAGAGGGUCGGGAAUUGAAAUAACUUGUAAAUUCAUUAAUGUUUACUUAGUUCUUCACACACACACGUCGAUUUUGCAUUGGAAAAAUGGAUAUUAGUUUGGUACUGUGACUUUGAAGUAGUUUGUAGAUUUAAUAUUGUGAUUUCAAAUUCUGAGGCAAAAAGCUAAAUUGUCUAACCAAAUAUUUUUGCAUGUUUGUGUUAUAAUUUUGUCUGAGGACAAACAAAUAUUUAAGUUUGGGGGUGUUUGAUAAGUGUAUUUUAUAUACUUAUUCGAGGCUCUAAAAUAACGAUAUUUGAUAGUCUUUUAGCAAAAUAUAUUCUAAAUUGUUGUGUCUUACGUUUAAUAGGUGAAUUUUCAUGGAUUAAAAGGAAGUGAAGGAAAGAAGAGAAAAUUGGGCGAAAAUGGCAAUAUUUAAAGUACGUGGAUUAAAGUGGCCAUUGAAAGAAAAUUGGAGAGCAAUUGGAAUCCUUUUGAAAGUCAAAUAUUGUGGGCUAGGUUACCACUAAUAUAUAUACACAUGCUGGCGAAAAUAAAAAAGAAAGAAGGGAGGAUAGAUACACAUUAAUUGGACACGGCAGCUUAUUAAAAAAAGGGGGCUGAAUUUGGAAUCCAAAAAUCACAAAAAUAAGGGCUGCGGUUGGAGUGUGUGUGUGUGUGUAUAUAUAUAUAUAUAUAUAUAGCGGCUACUGGUGAGUUAAAACAUUGGGCUGAAUUUAUUAAUUCAUACACUAAGUUGGUGGCUGCAACUUUGAAGAUAAAAAUCACGCAAUUUGGCAGCGACCUUGGGGGAGGAAAAACAUUGACAGCAAGGGAGAUAUAUUCCACAUGUGGACUUGACUCCAAAAGAAAAAGGAGGGUUGUUUCUGCUAUAAUAUAUAUACAUACACGCAUAUUGGCAGCUGGUGGGAAUUGGGAAGAAAAUAAACUACAAAUUGGUGGUUGCUUUUAAGGAGAAAUUGAAAGAUAACUAUUGCUGGCUGCUGGAGACAAGUGGGCGGCUCUGAAUCAGAUUUUAUAUACAUAUAAAUUGGUGGCCGGCAGAUGAAAAUUGAAGAAGCAGAAUUGUUACACACGCAUAUAGUCGGCAAUUGAAUUGGAGAGCAGCUUCAAGGAUAAAUUGCAGUCAAAUACUACGGCAAAUAUGAAGACGGCAACCGCAAGAAAGACACGGAUUAUUGGAUUAUAAUUGGAGUUAAACACGUCCGUCAAUUUUUGGUGAUAUCCUUCCACUUUUAUUUGUUUGAUUCCAAUAAUAUGUUAGGCUAAUUCGUUUCAUGUAUUGGAUGAUAACAAAAUUGUUUAAUUUUUAGUGUUAAUUCGAGACCUAUGUUUUUAUGUUAAUUCUUGCAUUGUGAUUCCAUUAAUAUGCCUAUUUAUACUGUUUUAGUGUUUGCGCUCCAUUAGGACAAUAAGUUUCUUAUUCGUAGUGUUGGAAAACUCACGGUAGGUAGAACAUUGUUAUUGGAACACACGAGCAAUAAAUAUUAGGAAUAAUAUUUGUGGCCUGUACGAUCUUAUGUGAUAAUCCUAAAUGUUAAUGCAUGUUUGCCAUAUGAAGUUGGACUAGGAAUAGGAUCGUCUCGUGGUAAUUAUAGGUUUAUUAUAUCCUGGGAAAUAAUAAUAAAGAAUAGUGAAAUUAUCGAUCGUCGCAACUGUAUAAAU